CGAGGGGCAGCGCGGGUAGCAAUACCUGGCGGCGACCGGCGAAAGGGUGCGUAACGCGUGAGCAACAUUCCCGUAUUUGGGGGAUAAGCAGUGGAAACGCUGUCUAAUACCCCAUAACAACAGUGACUGCAUGGUCACUGUUUGAAAGAUUCGUCGAAUACGGAUUGGCUCGCGUGGCAUUAGCUAGUCGGCGGGGUAACGGCCCACCGAGGCGACGAUGCCUAGGGGUUCUGAGAGGAAGACCCCCCACAUUGGGACUGAGACACGGCCCAAACUCCUACGGGAGGCAGCAGUGAGGAAUAUUGGUCAAUGGACGGAAGUCUGAACCAGCCAUGCCGCGUGAAGGAUGACUGCCCUAUGGGUUGUAACUUCUUUUGCAGCAGAGCAAUAAGGUGUACGUGUACACCGAUGAGAGUAUGUUGCGAAUAAGCAUCGGCUAACUCCGUGCCAGCAGCCGCGGUAAUACGGAGGAUGCAAGCGUUAUCCGGAUUUAUUGGGUUUAAAGGGUGCGUAGGCUGUGCAUCAAGUCAGUGGUGAAAGACCGGGGCUCAACCUCGGAAGUGCCAUUGAUACUGAUGUGCUGGAGUACCCCUGCCGUGGGAGGAAUGAGUGGUGUAGCGGUGAAAUGCAUAGAUAUCACUCAGAACACCGAUUGCGAAGGCAUCUCACGAAAGGGCAACUGACGCUGAGGCACGAAAGCGUGGGGAU
rnacentral:rRNA from 1 species